GAUCAUGGCUCAGAUUGAACGCUGGCGGCAGGCCUAACACAUGCAAGUCGAACGGUAACAGGAAGCAGCUUGCUGCUUUGCUGACGAGUGGCGGACGGGUGAGUAAUGUCUGGGAAACUGCCUGAUGGAGGGGGGAUAACUACUGGAAACGGUAGCUAAUACCGCAUAACGUCGCAAGACCAAAGAGGGGGGACCUCGGGUCCGUCCUUCGUCCACUCGGAGUGUGCCCACGAUGGGAGUUAGU
rnacentral:rRNA from 1 species